UGAGGAAUAUUGGUCAAUGGGCGGGAGCCUGAACCAGCCAAGUCGCGUGAGGGAAGACGGUCCUACGGAUUGUAAACCUCUUUUGCCGGGGAGCAACGGGGUCCUUGCGAGGGCCCGAUGAGAGUACCCGGAGAAAAAGCAUCGGCUAACUCCGUGCCAGCAGCCGCGGUAAUACGGAGGAUGCGAGCGUUAUCCGGAUUUAUUGGGUUUAAAGGGUGCGUAGGCGGGCUGUUAAGUCAGCGGUCAAAUGUCGGGGCUCAACCCCGGCCUGCCGUUGAAACUGGUGGCCUCGAGUGGGCGAGAAGUAUGCGGAAUGCGUGGUGUAGCGGUGAAAUGCAUAGAUAUCACGCAGAACUCCGAUUGCGAAGGCAGCAUACCGGCGCCCGACUGACGCUGAGGCACGAAAGCGUGGGUAUCGAACAGG
rnacentral:rRNA from 1 species